GCGGGGAAUAACCCGUGAAAGACGGACUAAUACCGCAUAAUACUAAAUUAACUGCAUGGUAAUUUAUUUUAAACAUUUAUGGCUUACAGAUGGGCAUGCGCAGUGAUUUAGCUAGUUGGAGAGGUAACGGCUACCCCAAGGCAACGAUCAUUAGGGGUUCUGAGAGGAAGGUCCCCCACACUGGUACUGAGACACGGACCAGACUCCUACGGGAGGCAGCAGUGAGGAAUAUUGGUCAAUGGACGAGAGUCUGAACCAGCCAAGUCGCGUGCAGGAAGAAUGUCCCUAUGGAUUGUAAACUGCUUUUGCAGGGGAAUAAAGUGCAUCACGUGUGAUGUUUUGUAUGUUACUCUGCGAAUAAGGAUCGGCUAACUCCGUGCCAGCCGCGGC
rnacentral:rRNA from 1 species